GGGUUGUGAGGUUAAGCGACUAAGCGUACACGGUGGAUGCCCUGGCAGUCAGAGGCGAUGAAGGGCGUGCUAAUCUGCGAUAAGCGCCGGUAAGGUGAUAUGAACCGUUAUAACCGGCGAUACCCGAAUGGGGAAACCCAGUGUGAUUCGUCACACUAUCAUUAACUGAAUCCAUAGGUUAAUGAGGCGAACCGGGGGAACUGAAACAUCUAAGUACCCCGAGGAAAAGAAAUCAACCGAGAUUCCCCCAGUAGCGGCGAGCGAACGGGGAGGAGCCCAGAGCCUGAAUCAGCAUGUGUGUUAGUGGAAGUGUCUGGAAAGGCGCGCGAUACAGGGUGACAGCCCCGUACACAAAAGCGCAUGUGCUGUGAGCUCGAUGAGUAGGGCGGGACACGUGGUAUCCUGUCUGAAUAUGGGGGGACCAUCCUCCAAGGCUAAAUACUCCUGACUGACCGAUAGUGAACCAGUACCGUGAGGGAAAGGCGAAAAGAACCCCGGCGAGGGGAGUGAAAAAGAACCUGAAACCGUGUACGUACAAGCAGUGGGAGCACAGGUUUACCUGUGUGACUGCGUACCUUUUGUAUAAUGGGUCAGCGACUUAUAUUCUGUAGCAAGGUUAACCGAAUAGGGGAGCCGGAGGGAAACCGAGUCUUAAUUGGGCGUUAAGUUGCAGGGUAUAGACCCGAAACCCGGUGAUCUAGCCAUGGGCAGGUUGAAGGUUGGGUAACACUAACUGGAGGACCGAACCGACUAAUGUUGAAAAAUUAGCGGAUGACCUGUGGCUGGGGGUGAAAGGCCAAUCAAACCGGGAGAUAGCUGGUUCUCCCCGAAAGCUAUUUAGGUAGCGCCUCGUGAA
rnacentral:rRNA from 1 species